GACGAACGCUGGCGGCGUGCUUAACACAUGCAAGUCGAACGGAGCGAAUGAAAGCUUGCUUUUAUAAGCUUAGUGGCAAACGGGUGAGUAACACGUAGACAACCUGCCGACAGGAUGGGGACAACAUUCCGAAAGGAAUGCUAAUACCGAAUGAAGCGCAGGAGAGGCAUCUCUCCUGCGUGAAAGAUGGCCUCUAUAUAUAAGCUAUCACCUGUUGAUGGGUCUGCGUCUGAUUAGCUGGUAGGUGAGGUAACGGCUCACCUAGGCGACGAUCAGUAGCCGGUCUGAGAGGAUGAACGGCCACAUUGGGACUGAGACACGGCCCAGACUCCUACGGGAGGCAGCAGUGGGGAAUCUUCCGCAAUGGCGCAAGCCUGACGGAGCAACGCCGCGUGAGUGAAGAAGGUCUUCGGAUCGUAAAGCUCUGUUGAUGGGGACGAACGUGCCUAAUGCGAAUAGUUUU
rnacentral:rRNA from 1 species